GACGAACGCUGGCGGCGUGCUUAACACAUGCAAGUCGAACGGUGAUCUUGGGAGCUUGCUCCUGGGUGAUCAGUGGCGAACGGGUGAGUAACACGUGAGUAACCUGCCCCUGACUCUGGAAUAACUUCGGGAAACCGAAGCUAAUACCGGAUAUGACACAGAGCCGCAUGGUUUCUGUGUGGAUAGUCUUUUCGGUUGGGGAUGGACUCGCGGCCUAUCAGCUUGUUGGUGAGGUAAUGGCUCACCAAGGCGACGACGGGUAGCCUGCCUGAGAGGGCGACCGGCCACACUGGGACUGAGACACGGCCCAGACUCCUACGGGAGGCAGCAGUGGGGAAUAUUGCACAAUGGGCGAAAGCCUGAUGCAGCGACGCCGCGUGAGGGAUGAAGGCCUUCGGGUUGUAAACCUCUUUCAGUAGGGAAGAAGCGCAAGUGACGGUACCUACAGAAGAAGCACCGGCUAACUACGUGCCAGCAGCCGCAGUAAUAC
rnacentral:rRNA from 1 species